rnacentral:rRNA from 1 species
UACGUAGGGACCGAGCGUUGUCCGGAUUCAUUGGGCGUAAAGAGCUCGUAGGCGGCUGCUCAAGUCGAAUGUGAAAACUCGAGGCUCAACCUCGAGCCUGCAUUCGAUACUGGGCGGCUAGAGUCUGGUAGGGGGAUCUGGAAUUCCUGGUGUAGCGGUGGAAUGCUCAGAUAUCAGGAGGAACACCGGUGGCGAAGGCGGGAUCCUGGGCCAGUACUGACGCUGAGGAGCGAAAGCGUGGGGAGCAAACAGG